GUCUAGGUAGCUUAAUUAAAGCUUAAUAUUGAAGCUAUUAUGAUAAGAUUUAUAUCUUCUUAGACA
rnacentral:tRNA from 1 species